GAAGUGGCUCAGUGGUAGAUCACUUGCCUAAUAUGUAUGAGGUACUUGGUUUGAUCCCCAGUACUGCA
rnacentral:tRNA from 1 species